UGGGGAAUUUUGGACAAUGGGGGCAACCCUGAUCCAGCCAUUCCGCGUGAGUGAAGAAGGCCUUCGGGUUGUAAAGCUCUUUCAGCAGGAACGAAACGGUCGGCUUUAAUAAAGUCGGCUAAUGACGGUACCUGCAGAAGAAGCACCGGCUAACUACGUGCCAGCAGCCGCGGUAAUACGUAGGGUGCGAGCGUUAAUCGGAAUUACUGGGCGUAAAGCGCACGUAGGCGGUUUUUAAGUCAGAUGUGAAAGCCCCGGGCUCAACCUGGGAAUUGCAUUUGAAACUGGAAAACUAGAGUGUGUGAGAGGGGGGUAGAAUUCCAAGUGUAGCGGUGAAAUGCGUAGAGAUUUGGAGGAAUACCAGUGGCGAAGGCGGCCCCCUGGCACAACACUGACGCUCAGGUGCGAAAGCGUGGGGAGCAAACAGGAUUAGAUACCCCCGUAGUCCCUGAGCGGGCUGGCAAGGCGCAU
rnacentral:rRNA from 1 species